GCAGCGAAACGCGAUAGUUAAUGUGAAUUGCAGAAUUCAGUGAAUCAUCGAGUCUUUGAACGCACAUUGCGCCCAUUGGUAUUCCUUUGGGCAUGUCUGUUUGAGCGUCAUUACAACCCUCAGCUAACCGCUGGUUUUGAACCUGAACGGGUCAACACCCGCGCCGGUUUUAAAGUUGUAAGCUCUGCUGGCCGCUCUGCCCCAACCAGAACAUAGUAAGCACUACUUGUCCAGGUGAAGCUGAACGGUAUGGCCUGAACAAAACCUACCCACUUCUAAGGUUUGACCUCAGAUCAGACAAGGAUACCCGCUGAACUUAAGCAUAUCAAUAAGCGGAGGAAAAGAAACCAACAGGGAUUGCCUCAGUAACGGCGAGUGAAGCGGCAACAGCUCAAAUUUGAAAUCUGGAGCCCUCGGCUUCCGAGUUGUAAUUUGAAGAGGAUGUCUCGGUGCGGCCUGGGCCUAAGUUCCUUGGAACAGGACGUCAUGGAGGGUGAGAAUCCCGUACAUGGCUGCAGGCUUGCUUCUAUGUG
rnacentral:rRNA from 1 species